GACGAACGCUGGCGGCGUGCUUAACACAUGCAAGUCGAACGGAGUGUCGAACGGGGGAGUAACACGUCGGUGAUCUGCCUUGCACUUCGGGAUAAGCUUGUGGAACUGGGUCUAAUACCGGAUAGUGCAAGAUGAGCUCGCGGCCUAUAAGCUUGUUGGUGGGGUAAUGGCCUACCAAGGCGUCGACGGGUAGCCGGCCUGAGAGGGUGUACGGCGACAUUGGGACUGAGAUACGGCCCAGACGCCUACGGUAGGCAGCAGUGGGGAAUAUUGCACAAUGGGCGGAAGCGUGAGGCAGCGACGUCGCGUGGGGGAUGAAGGCCUUCGGGUUGGAAACUCCUUUAGACAGGGACGCGGUACCUGUAUAAGAAGCACCGGCUAACUACGUGCCAGCAGCCGCGGUAAUUC
rnacentral:rRNA from 1 species